UACGGAGGGAGCUAGCGUUGUUCGGAAUUACUGGGCGUAAAGCGCACGUAGGCGGCUUUGUAAGUUAGGGGUGAAAGCCUGGAGCUCAACUUCAGAAUUGCCCUUAAGACUGCAUCGCUUGAAUCCAGGAGAGGUGAGUGGAAUUCCGAGUGUAGAGGUGAAAUUCGUAGAUAUUCGGAAGAACACCAGUGGCGAAGGCGACUCACUGGACAUGUAUUGACGCUGAGGUGCGAAAGCGUGGGGAGCAAACAGG
rnacentral:rRNA from 1 species